rnacentral:rRNA from 1 species
UGGGGAAUAUUGCGCAAUGGGGGGAACCCUGACGCAGCCAUGCCGCGUGAAUGAAGAAGGCCUUUGGGUUGUAAAGUUCUUUCGGUAUUGAGGAAGGUUGAUGUGUUAAUAGCACAUCAAAUUGACGUUAAAUACAGAAGAAGCACCGGCUAACUCCGUGCCAGCAGCCGCGGUAAUACGGAGGGUGCGAGCGUUAAUCGGAAUAACUGGGCGUAAAGGGCACGCAGGCGGUUAUUUAAGUGAGGUGUGAAAGCCCCGGGCUUAACCUGGGAAUUGCAUUUCAGACUGGGUAACUAGAGUACUUUAGGGAGGGGUAGAAUUCCACGUGUAGCGGUGAAAUGCGUAGAGAUGUGGAGGAAUACCGAAGGCGAAGGCAGCCCCUUGGGAAUGUACUGACGCUCAUGUGCGAAAGCGUGGGGAGCAAACAGGAUUAGAUACCCUGGUAGUCCACGCUGUAAACGCUGUCGAUUUGGGGGUUGGGGUUUAACUCUGGCGCCCGUAGCUAACGUGAUAAAUCGACCGCCUGGGGAGUACGGCCGCAAGGUUA